GGUGAGUUCACCCCGGUCCUGGUCUGGCACCUCAUUGCUGGGGAGGUCUCGGUAGUCCAGAGGAGGUAGCCCCCACCCUGGGCAUCCAUCUGCCCAGGCCCCAGCCCCCGCGGGAAGACCCAAUUACAGAAGGAAGAAGUAUGUGGAGACCCUUGGCUGAGGUUGGGGGACCUGGAAGCUGGAGGAAUGGCAGACUCUGGACAUGCUCCUAGAGAUGGGAGGUCAAAAUGAUCAACGUUCAGGGUCCCUUCAUCUCAGAGGGUCUCGAGUCACCUCAUUUAAAGUGUGGCCUGGGACACCUCCUAUCCAGCCAUACGCCGCCCAGGACUGGCUCAACAGCUCCACCCUCCACUGCUGUUCACCCAUGACACGUCACUUCCCACCCGCCACUGCUGGCUCACCUGUGACACCCCAGGCAGCUCAGAUGCCCGGCAGGUCCUGCUGGUGUGUAUUAGCCGGGGUCUCCAAAGAACCAGAGCCAGCAGGAGACACACCCGUCUCUGUAUCUGGAGAAAAAGAUCGAUGAGAAGGAAUCUGCUCCUGUGAUGAUGGAGGCUGACAAGUCCCGAGAGCCACGGUUGGCACCCUGGAGACCC
rnacentral:lncRNA from 1 species